GAGCACUGACGGAUCUCUCUUCUUGCCUCUCAUCCAGAAUGACGAGGACAACGGCCCUGGGUCUCCAGCUGCUCUUGGGAGGGUAGCAGGUCCUUGCCAGCACCCCCAGACCACAAACCAGUAAGUGCCCCCCUGUCGAAGUGACAGUUUCGCUCUGCUGCACUUUGAGGAAUGAAGAGGAAGGGCCACCCUCCAUGGGGGACGAAGGGCCAGCGGAGGGCAGCGCCUCCCUGCCGCAGGACAGCACGCUGUCACAGCAGCGGCCCUGAGGACAGCAGUGCCCAGGGAGCGGAUCUCCACAGGGCCAUCACUCCGAGAGCACGGCCCGCUCCAAGGGGACACUCACAGCAGCUGGCAGGCACUCUUGAGGGGUGCCAGUUUCCAACAACAAGGGCCCCGGGGGUGGAGGGGUGGGGCUUGACACUGUAAUUUCAUCUUUAAGAGAAACAGAACAUCAAACAGCAACACCUCAUGCCAGGAAGACUGGGUCGCUGACAUUGGCAUGAAUUGCUGCUGGUGGGAAAACAGUAGAGGUACUUUGGGGAACACCCUGGACCCUGGACUUUCUCGAUCUGAAAGCCCUUUGCUGUCCAUGACCGGUCUUUCCCUGACGGGGCCGUUGGCUGAGCCGGGGCAACGUUUAUCUUCUGUGAUAAACAAGGAGACUAAGCUGGAGAGGCUGAGAAACGCUCCCCCAGCAACAGGACCUGGCCCUACUCACCGGCCCACAGACACGGAGAAGGGGGCACGGCGACGGUGUCCUGGGCCACCGCUGCUCUGGCCUGGCACCCACUUUCUGGUCGCUUCCCCACCAGGGGGUGCAGGGCCCCGGUCGAGCUGGAUGAAAGAGGACUCCCGGCCUCGGUCUGCCAGGUAAAGACACCUCGGGAGCAAGCGACAGGAGCUUUCUGCUCCCACCUCGCUUCGUGGGAGAACUUUUCAUUUUAUGACCUAAUUCCUUUCCAUUUUAAUUUAAUUAAUUUACUUUAACUUAAUUUUAAUUUAAUUUGAUGACCCAAUUCCUGUUAUUUCAUCAGCUGGUUAGGAUUAAACUCUUCUCCGUAACAGAUCCCUGUCUGGCUACAGGCUCUUGUUUCUGGAACAUUCUUAAAGAACAAAGUUCACGGUGGGAGUGUCGGGAAGGCAGGAAGAUGUGCUAACCGCCCAUCACACCAGGCGCCUGGGUCCCGUCCAGGGAGCAGCUGUCAGCAGCCUCCCCCCAGAGACUGUGACUCUGCCUGCAGGGCCGGCCUCAGGGUGGCCACUUGGGGACUUCCUGGCUUGCUCAGCAGAGGGGCCACCAACUCCGCCCACGGGGACAGCCGGGAACAUUUAAUAAGAGCCAUGACUCCCUGGGGAGUUUCUCUCCAGUGAUAACAUUAGGGAAGUAAGGCAUCGGCUAAACCAAAUCUAAAGGACUGGGCAGUUGCCCACUUACAGGUCAAGCGGCCAGAAGGCGUGUGUGGCCAUUCUCAGCAUCCAGCAGGACCCAGCUCCGGAGCAGCCCAAGUCUGCUGCCCCAGCUCUGGGCGCCGGCCGGCCAGCCUGCCGCUUCCCUUCCCUCCUGCAGCCCCUCCGGCCCCAUGAUUCUGCUUUCACAGCACGCCUCUGAGCACACACUUGCUGUUUCUCUCUCAUUUUAAGGGCAUUCGUGCUGAUCACUUUUCUAACAAGAUGUAAAUAAGACAGGACAACUAUUAAGAUUCCAGAAUCGUAAUGUUGUUUACAGGCAAGACCCCUGGCCCUCAACACGUCUCCCUUUCUGGAAAGGAGCAGCCAGCUGACCUGACUCCCAGCUUGCGUCUCCUGCUGUCACUCAGCAAAUUUGUACUUAGGGUUUAAUAUGGACAAGGCACUGUCCCGGUGAGAGGGACACGGUAGUCGUGGAGAGACGGAGAGACAGAGAUGACUCUCCUUUCAGAAGGACACAAGUCCCACCGGAUCAGGGGCCAGCCUCCUCCCUCCUGACAACGCGUUCCAUCGGCAAUGACCCCGUUUCCAAAUAGGUCAUAUCCUGAGGUACGGGGGUUAGGAUUUCAACACACGAAUUGAGGGGCGCAAUUCAACCCACAACAGAGGGAGUUGGGUGCUGGAGAUGACGGAGGUGAAGCCCUCUGGGCAGAGGCAAACCGCAGUCGGUUUUCAGGGCUGAGCAGGGCAGCCCGUGCUGGAACCCGGGGACUUGGCCCUGAGGACGUUUCCAAAGCACAGUGUGAGCUCCACUAAAGGACAGAAGCGGACUUGGGAAGCACUCAAAUUUUAUUUGGCUGUGUAUUUGCUUAGCUGUAGGGGGAAAUGUAGCCACAGCACCACAAACUCAUUGCUGUUUUGCUCAUGAAGAGGAUGUGAAUGAAGUUGGUAAAUCUCAAAAAGUAAGCCUGUUUUUUUUAAGGGCCACACCCACGGCAUAGGGAACUUCCUGGGCCAGGGGUGGAACUUUAGCAGCGGCAGCAACACCAGAUCCUUUUAACCCACCGCACGGGGGCGUGGAUGGAACCCGCCCCUUUGCCUCCAAGGCAGCCUGAGCCACUGCAGUCAGGUUCUUAACCCGCUGAGCCGCAGCGGGAACUCCAAAAGUAAACCGGUUUUAAGAAAAGUAUUAACAGCACAGAUCCAACGUGGCCAGAAAAGUCCGCACAGAGGUGCUGAAAAUCCACACGGAGGAGGCGUGAGAAUGAUUAAAUCGGGGACGCUGCUGGCCCCAGACUGAAUGUCCGUCCCCCCCCCUCCGGCCCCCGCAGUGGGAGGUGAUAAGGUCGUGAGGGUGAAUGGAGCGAGUGGCCUAACUCAGACGAGACCUGAGAGAGGGCUCUCUGGCCUCGGCGUGCACACAGCCCAGACGCGACGAGCCAGCGCGCUGAACGCGCCUGCAGAGCUGCUGAGUCUAGCAGUCCCUGGCACUCCGGAUGGCAGCCCAGAGGCCGCGACUCUUCUGCCCAAGUGUAAGCAGAUGCCCUUCUUCAAAGAGGGACCUGGCAGCGUGUGGGAGGUGCAGCGCCGGGAACAAGGGGCAGCGGAGAGGACAGAACAGGGAGGCCCUGGUCUCGCCUUCCUCGGGUCUCAGGUCCCGAGACACGCGGUUCACUGGGUCCCGUUUCUCAGCGUGACCGCAGCGCUCAGCAGGGGCCCGCCCUCUACGGAGCGGAGCGUGUGACCCUGCCUCUCAGGGCACUCCUCCCACGAGCCCUGCCCCUUGGAGCAAUUCCUCACACGCUAUCCCUUUUUGGAAACGCAAUGCCAAUCCCAAAGGCAGGGUUUGGGUUGGUUUUUAAUCCAUGUACUGAGUUUUGAGUCUUCCUGUUUCUCAUCACGUAUUUGAGUCAUACCUUCAAAUACUCCAGUUUGCUCAGGUUAAAGAAAAAAGUUACUUCAAACUGUUAAAGAAAAUAUUUUUCAGAGACACUCGUUAAAGCAUGGAAAGGCAGACUUUAUUCAAGGGGUGCCUUCGGAUGGGUACAGGGGCCACUGCUGUGGGAUCAUGAGACCCCAUUUGUCCCCGCAGACGAGGGGAGAACUCAGACUGACCUCUGAACACGACAUGGACAAGUGGGAACCUCCAACCCAGGAGCAGGGGGGCGUCAGGAGUUGGAGAGUCCCUAAAAGGAGCAUCAGGGGCUCUGGCUAAAGUGACGUCAUGGCAGGAUUCUUGCUGAAGGCAGACGCCCCCGGCAGGGGGGAGGGAGUGGUGGAGGAUGGAGACAGCGGUUGGAUGUGGAGGGUUAGCAGAUAUGGGGGGUGGGGGAGCCUGAGUAGAGUCAAGAAGGGAACCUUUGUCACUUAUGUAUGGUUGCUCUGUCAAAUAAAAGACAAAGAAUGUGUUAUGAAUCCGCGCUUCUUUCUCUUUUCUCUACAGCUUUUUGGAAAGCUAAAGAGCUCCUAAGAAAACCUGUCAUUAGCCGUCAUUCGACACGUUGGGCAAAACCCGCAACCAAGCACUUGGAAGGGUGGCUUUAGGAACACUCACCAGACCUCCUUUCUCAUUCUCAUACCCGGCAACCGCGUGGCCCGUCUCAGGGAGCCACCAUCACGUUGGUCUAUCUCUGCACAGCUGCUCAAGUACGGGUUCCAUCCCAGGAAGCCUGAGGAAGCAGGAAGUCAUCUUAGCUGAGGAAACAGACACUCUGAGCAUCCAUUCCCUGUAACCUGCUUCGUUUCCUAGGCCUUCGUACAAAAUCAAUGCCAAGGUUAAAAAAAUCUAACCAUGGGUUGGGAACAAGGCCUGGAUAUUAUUCCAAGCUCUGGCACAGGCAUGCAGUUUGUCCCUGGGCAAAUUCCUUAGCCUGUCUCUGCCUCAGUCUCAUCAUUCACAGAAUGCUGGGUAAGGAAGGGUACUUCCUUCUCGUUAUUAUGAAAGACAAGCUGUGCUUACGUCCUUCUGCAAAAUGGGACGCCGCUUUCCUAGGAAGGGUACCAGUCAAUACCAGGGUAUGUAUCUUAAAGAGAUAAUCAGAUUAAAAGCAGCAUGGAAUAUACAAAGAAAAAUGAUUGAAUUUCCUAGUGGACCAGGCAUAUUGCUGCCCUUUGGGUCCAAACGAAAAAGUAUAUCUUGAAUUACUGAAAUUUUCUCUUUUUUAAAUUUUUUUUACUUUAUUUUUUGUCUUUUUGCCAUUUCUUGGGCCGCUCCCGUGGCAUAUGGAGGUUCCCAGGCUAGGGGUCAAAUCGGAGCUGUAGCCGACAGCCUACACCAGAGCCAGAGCAAUGCCAGAUCCGAGCCGCAUCUGCGACCUACACCACAGCUCACGGUGACACCGGAUCCUUAACCCUCUGAGCAAGGGCAGGGAUCGAACCAGCAACCUCAUGGUUCCUAGUCGGAUUCGUUAACCAUUGCUCCACGACGGAAACUCCCUGAAAUUUUCUUUCUUGCCUCAUCUAAUACAUGACAGAUUCUAAGUGUCAUUCUUACACCUCAUCCAUUAGUAAUUGCUCACUAAAUCGAAAUACUUGCUACUUUUUCUGGUUGACUGUAUCUAGAACAUUUCCCAGUGUGUUUCAUUCAUUAUUGUACUCAACACGUUUGCUGCAUGAAUAGAUGACUGUGUUGCAUGCUUAUACCGCAAAUUAACAUUUUUUCUUCGUUAGGCACUAUGUUUCUAAUUUCUUGUUUUAUUAAGUAAUGCUGCAAUGUACUAUCUUAUGCAUCAAUAUCUUCCCAGAAAUCUGGUUACCUACUUAAAGCUCAAUCACUGUGAUUUAGAAUUUUGUAGAACAAAAAAGGAAAGCAGUAUACACAAAGAAAAAGAAUAUAUACAAGUGAAACAAACCACAUGGUUAGAAAAUCACAAUAAAAAAUCUGUAAAUGU
ensembl:lncRNA